rnacentral:rRNA from 1 species
GACGAACGCUGGCGGCGCGCUUAACACAUGCAAGUCGAACGGUAAGGCCCUUUCGGGGUACGCGAGUGGCGAACGGGUGAGUAACACGUGGGUAAUCUGCCCUGCACUCUGGGAUAAGCCUGGGAAACUGGGUCUAAUACCGGAUAUGAGCCUUCAUCGCAUGGUGGGGGUUGGAAAGUUUUUUCGGUGCAGGAUGUGCCCGCGGCCUAUCAGCUUGUUGGUGGGGUAAUGGCCUACCAAGGCGACGACGGGUAGCCGGCCUGAGAGGGUGAUCGGCCACACUGGGACUGAGACACGGCCCAGACUCCUACGGGAGGCAGCAGUGGGGAAUAUUGCACAAUGGGCGGAAGCCUGAUGCAGCGACGCCGCGUGGGGGAUGACGGUCUUCGGAUUGUAAACCCCUUUCAGUAGGGACGAAGCGCAAGUGACGGUACCUGCAGAAGAAGCACCGGCCAACUACGUG